rfam:Picea glauca, whole genome shotgun sequence.
UCACCGGUUUUUCUCAAAACCAUAAAAUUUAAGAGUUGUAACAAAAU